CUAUUUUAGUGAGUGUGAGCACUCCAGAUAUUGUAUAUGGGAGCACCUUUAAAACUGAAUUGCUGUACUGCAUUACACCUGGCCCUGAGCUGCCUUCGGGAGAACAAACUUCACAUUUGGUAAUAUCCUGGAGAAUGAAUUUUUUGCAGAGCACCAUGAUGAAAGGGAUGAUAGAAAAUGGAGCAAAACAAGGUCUAAAAGAUAGCUUCGAACAGUUUGCGUCUUUAUUGUCUCAAAAUGUUAAGCCAGUUGAUUUGAAGGAGACAG
rnacentral:misc_RNA from 1 species